rnacentral:rRNA from 1 species
GACGAACGCUGGCGGCGUGCCUAAUACAUGCAAGUCGAGCGAACAGACCAGGAGCUUGCUCCUCUCACGUUAGCGGCGGACGGGUGUGUAACACGUGUAUAACCUACCUAUAAGACUGGGAUAUCUUCGGGACACCGGAUCAAAUACCGUAGAAUAUAUUGAACCGCAGGGUGCAAUAGAGAAUUACGGCUUUUCUGUCACUAAUAGAUGGAUCCGCGCCGCAUUAGCUAGUUGGUAAGGUAACGGCUUAUCAAGGCGACGAUGCGUAGCCGACCUGUGAGAGUGAUCGGCGACACUGGAACUGAGCCGCCGUCCAGACUCCUGCGGGAGGCAGCAGUAGGGAAUCUUCCGCAGUGGGCGAAAGCCUGACGGAGCGGCGGGGCGUGAGUGAUGAAAGUCUUCGGAUCGUAAAACUCUGUUAUUAGGGAAGAACAAAUGUGUAAGUAACUGUGCACGUCUUGACGGUACCUAAUCAGAAAGCCACGGCUAACUACGUG